rnacentral:lncRNA from 1 species
AUUGUGACCUCUGCUUCUGUAUUCACAUCAUCGCUGACCCUGACUCUCCUAUCUUCCUCUUUCACAUUUUAAGGUCCUUUGUGAUUAUAUUAGAUGCACACAGAUAAUAAUCUUUCCAUCUCAUGAUCUUCAGUUAAAUCACAGUUGCCAAAUUCCGUUUGCUGUGUAAAAUAAUAUAUUCGCAGAGUCAGAGGAUUUUCACGUGGACAUCUUUGAGAAGCUGUUUUUCUGCCUACCCCAAAAAGAUUGGGUUAAUUCAAGAGAGCAGGCAAAACACAUACAAAGUAAAAUAUAUUUACGAAAGUGUUUUUGGAGAUACUUCCUUUUAGCAAUGUCAGACCAGAUGUUUCAGCCCAAACACUCUAUCAAGAAAAACUCUGAAAGAUGGAAAAUAUAGAAGACAUCGUUUUAAGUUAUCAUAAACCCAAAUAAGCAACAUUGAAGAGACAAGAUCUCAAGUAAAAGAAUAGAAAAAGGGGUGAGAAGCAAAUUUGGUACUUUUUUCCCCACAAGAUAUCCCUCCUCAAAUGAGAAGUUUGAAAUCAAGUUUCUAAGCAGAAAGGUGUAGCUGAGAAACAAGGCGAAUGAGUGAUAUUUCCAGCAGACUCACCAGCCCAUGAGACACAGAGAGAAUUCCAGUCCCCGCCCCGCCACCCCCAAGGAGGAGAGGAUAUGGAAAUACAAGACUUCAUUAGAUGUAGACUUGAGGAACUAUGUCCUAAGUGUCCUUAUGAAUAAGAAAUAGAAAACUACUCACAAAACCAAACACCUAGCUUCAAAAAGACUCAAAUCUUGAUUGCAAUGAGAUGAAUUGCCCCCAUCUUAAUGGCCUGUUGGAAGCAAAAUAAAAUGUUCCCUGGAGGAAGAUAAAAUCACCUAGAGCUUCCAAUUAUUUUACAGUAAUCAUACACAAAUUUUCGCAAACAAUAAAAAAAUCACAUUUGCAAAAUUUGAAUGGUACAGAAAGAGCUUCAAGCCUGUGAUCUAUAUUCUCCAUUUACUGGGGAUGUCUUCAAAAAAAGAACUCAGAACCAUACAAUUCAGAGCAACAAUGAAAUACAACUGCACACCUAUUAGAAGAGCUAUGGUUAAAAAGACUAUACUAACCGUACCAAGUGCAUGCAAGGAUGUAGAGCUACUGUGACUUUCAUUUACUGCUGGUAUUAUGGAAAACAGUAUAAUCACAUUGCAAAAUAUUUUGACAUAUUCCAAAAUAAACUAAAAUGUAUGAAGCAUGUAAUGCAGCCAUUUCAUUCUUUAAUGCUAAUUCAAGAAAAAUAUAUUUAUAUUUGUAUAUCCUUAAAUGCAUGUUAAUAAUUCCAUUUUCUCAACAGUCCAAUACUUCAAGAUAAUCUGAAUACUAACAUUAGUUUACAUUAACACACACAUAUAGAUACAUACAUAUACAUAUUUAUAUGUAUAUGUGUGUAUAAACUAUUAAUACUUUCACUUAUGUUAUAUAUAUUGCCUGGUAGCAAUUUGAUUCUGAUAGGUAUGACAUAUAAAUCAUUUUCCACAUAAAAAUACUUCGCCAAAGCAAAAUAUUGUGUAAGAACAGUAGAUAUAAAAUAAAAUAUUUUGUGAUAGUUAAUACAGUGUCAGUGUCACUUCAUUAUUUUUACCAUGAGAUUUUAACUAUUUUCAUACUCUCAUCCAAGUAAACAUUAGCUUCAAAUCAGCAAUUAUAUUAACAAACGUUUUUACUUUUGUUUGUGAGUAUGCUUAAAUUCUUUUAAUUUGUAUAUUAUCUGUCCAGAGACUUUCAUAUAUUUUAAUAGGAAAUAAAAGAUAGAUUUGGGCUACACUUAAUGCAGGUUUUUUUGCUUCUGAUUUUUGUUAUUAUCAACAAAAAUCAUCCUUUUUUAAACACAUAUGGAAACAUAUAUCGAAUAAUU